CGGAAGUCAUUAAAAGAAAUCUACAAUGAACACUGGCAGAAAGUGAACAAACCUUCUGCGUUUAAUCUGCAAGGCGCUGAGGUUGGACGUGGACCUGUGAACGAGAAAAUUGAACUCGGCAGUUUUGGGCGAGAGAUACACGGACCACUCUACGAACUCAACCAUACACAAUGGCAAUACGGGCUACCCCUGUAAGAAAAUUUCAUUUCUA